rnacentral:misc_RNA from 1 species
UGGAGGCUGAUUAUGGGAUGGAUUCG